AACUAUUUCUUAACCACAAAGUAGUUUAGCUUAUAUAUAUGACGUGAGAAUGUCAUCUUUAUAUGAAAAUGAAAUGAAUUAAUAUCAGCAAUUAGAUCAAUGUGGAGAUUGAGUACCCAAUUACAGAAAUUUUCAAACCGAAAUAAUUCUCAAUCGUAAGAAUUCCAAUCUUUAUGUUUCCCACUAACACUCUACUUUCAAUCACAUUCACAAAAAUAAUUUAUUUACAUGGAACUCUAAUCGUAAUUGGACUCUAAUGAUGGAACCUCUUUGAGAAAGAAUAACUAUGAUGGACGGAUUGGAGAAGAUUAGAAGGUGAAAUUGGAUUGAAUGUAGAAAUGCACACGUGUUAAAAUAGGUCCUUUAAUCUGUACCAUAUAUUUUGAUUUAAUGGUUGAAAUUCAUUCCUUUCAUUGCAACAUUAUAUAUAUAUAGAGAGAGAAAGAGGAGGAUGAAUAAACUUACCCUUUCUAUAAAGAUAUUCAGCUUAAUAACUCAUUAUAAACUAUAGAUUUUUACCAAUCCAAUUGUUGAAUU
rnacentral:lncRNA from 1 species